rnacentral:rRNA from 1 species
GACGGAGGGGGCUAGCGUUGUUCGGAAUUACUGGGCGUAAAGGGCGCGUAGGCUGCUAUGUAUGUCGGGGGUGAAAUCCCAGAGCUUAACUCUGGAACUGCUCUCGAAACUGCAUAGCUAGAGUGAGUAAGAGGCGGACGGAAUUCCGAGUGUAGCAGUGAAAUGCGUAGAUAUUCGGAGGAACAUCAGUGGCGAAGGCGGUUCGCUGGUACUCAACUGACGCUGAGGCGCGAAAGCGUGGGGAGCAAACAGG